AUUGAACGCUGGCGGCAUGCUUUACACAUGCAAGUCGAACGGCAGCGCGGGCUUCGGCCUGGCGGCGAGUGGCGAACGGGUGAGUAAUGCAUCGGAACGUGCCCAGUAGUGGGGGAUAGCCCGGCGAAAGCCGGAUUAAUACCGCAUACGACCUGAGGGUGCAAGCGGGGGACCGAAAGGCCUCGCGCUAUUGGAGCGGCCGAUGUCGGAUUAGCUAGUUGGUGGGGUAAAGGCUUACCAAGGCGACGAUCCGUAGCUGGUCUGAGAGGACGACCAGCCACACUGGGACUGAGACACGGCCCAGACUCCUGCGGGAGGCAGCAGUGGGGAAUGUUGGACAAUGGGGGCAACCCUGAUCCAGCCAUGCCGCGUGCGGGAAGAAAGCCUUCGGGUUGUAAACCGCUUUUGUUCGGGAAGAAAUCCUCUGGGCUAAUACCCCGGGGGGAUGACGGUACCGGAAGAAUAAGCACCGGCUAACUACGUG
rnacentral:rRNA from 1 species